UAAAUUUCUGAAUCCGUCCUUGCAUUAUGAUGAAGAAAGAAAGAAGAGAGCAAAUAGAUGAACAUACAGUAUCAGAGAAGCCAAGCUGCGCUUUCUUCCCGGUGUUUCCCCUGCAAAUAUAAAUCUUGCCGCACUAGCUUUGUUUGCUUAAAACCAGAGGAGCUGAUACAGAUACAAAAUAUGAACUAAUAUCACAAUAUUCAUGCCUUGAUCAUAAUCAUAUACACACAAAUUAAUUGAUACAUACACAUAUACACGUCACAAACUUUUAGGUAGAAGAUGAGAAUGACCGCUAAAUACUUACUAGUUGAUGGGAGUUUCACUCAACUUCACAUGUACAUUACGUGUGAAACUUGUAGCAGCUUUAUAUUGGAUUUUAGCAAAGAGUUUCAUUUAUCCUGUCUGAAUCAUAGGCCACUGAAAUUAUUUCUUAUUUGAAAUUUUGAUAAAUAAUUGAAUCUUCAUUUUGUUUUUUCCCUUGCAUAAUUAUUCACACAUGGGAAAAUAACGUGGCGUUAUUAUAAGAUAUAUUACAGAUCACCUUUGUUCGUUACGGAUAGUGCUCCACUUUAUCUCGAUCAUUUCCCUCAUGAUAUUGACUUGCCAUAAAAAAAU
rnacentral:lncRNA from 1 species